rnacentral:rRNA from 1 species
UACAGAGGGGGCAAGCGUUAUUCGGAAUUAUUGGGCGUAAAGGGCGCAUAGGCGGCAUGGCAAGUGGAUGGUGAAAUCCCUCGGCUUAACCGAGGAACUGCCGUCCAAACUGCUUCGCUUGAGACCGGGAGAGGUGAGUGGAAUUCCCAGUGUAGCGGUGAAAUGCGUAGAUAUUGGGAGGAACACCAGUGGCGAAGGCGGCUCACUGGACCGGUACUGACGCUGAAGCGCGAAAGCGUGGGGAGCAAACGGG